UGUUUCUGCUUUUAUUGUACUCUUUUAAUUUCGAAUCUGGCUGGCGUUCAUGCAUGUAGUGCUAGUAUUUGUUAAGUUGUCAAUGCUGACACAAUUGUCAAAACAUUGUCUAGGAAAUUUAUAUAAGUUCUGCAACUUUGUUUUAACUUUCCCAUUCAGAAACUAAAGGGGAUGAAAGACCUCCAUUGCAACCUUAAUGUUGAACACUGUUGUCAUCUUUUUGGGCUCGUAUCACUUCAGGCUUUCCAGCACUGGAUAUGAUUCUACCAUCUAUGCUCAUCAAACCUUCAAGAAGUUGAUUAAGCUUAAUGCCAAAUUCUCCUCACAUUUUAUCAUGCGGUAUCUCCAGUCUCCACCAACUCUUUUGACAAUCCAAUUGAAAUCUCUCUAGACGUUCAGCGAUAAAGGCCAUUUGUUUAUGAUCACAUGAAAGUGCCAGACCAUGAAAUGUAUCUUUUGCCCCUGAACUUAACCUGAGCUUGAUAAUAGAAUGGUUUGACAGGGAAGGGGACAUGCAGAUUCCAUUCCACGUGAAGUGGGUCCUGGGUGGAAUCAGCAAGUGUUUGAUUAAGAUGGAUGAGUCCCAAAUCCUUAGGUAUGACUCACGUGUCUAGACUCAAAACAGGGUUCAACAAGAAUCUCAUCACUGCUAAUCCCUUGUUAACUCCAUAUGUGAGGAAAAUUUCAAACCCUUAUCCCAAUCAAGAAAGGUGUGGUGUGCCUCACAACAAACAAAAGGACAUGAGUGCUGUUUCGGUUGGAUUCAUGAGCAUGAGUGUUGGAGUUGAUCCAUUGCCCCAUGUGAAUCCUACGAUAUAUUAUGGACAGAAGAUUGAUCUCAGAUAUCAUACAUCCAACUUAUAUGUGCUAAAUAGCCUCCAAAAGAGACAGAUAGGUCUGUACUAUAUAGGAAUAACUUCUUAAGGACCCUAUCAAGUUUCACUAGCUGCCAUGUAUCACUCUGCUGCAUAUUUCUUGUAAUCAGAAUUCCAUAUUAUGAUUAUACCCAUCCAGUUACAUGUAAAUCCAAUGAUUUGAUGUGAUUUUUGUCAACCACCAAGUAUGAAUGUGGAGAAUCUCGUUUUUACUUUCACAUGAGAGAUUAGCUUUUUCCAUAAUAAUUCCGCUCUUCAUCUUGUGAUUUUGUUUCCAAUAAUAUUUUUAAAUGAUUUGUUCAGAAUAAUGUAACAUAUAGCCAGUUUGAUUAAUCUUUAUAUACUUAUACACCGGGGCAAACAAAAGAACUAGUCGGAGAACAUGCUAAUGAUAAAGACAGAAAUUCUAGAAAAAGAAAAGACAUUUAUCAUGGGCAAUGAUCAGGUUGAGAUGGAGCGUGGGAAGAUGCUGAGAACCACCAAGGAGUCAAAAGAAGUGCUGCACUGUGGAUAAGGUUGAGUCUCUGGGUCCUCUCACAACUGAUUGAUCUUUGGCUUUCUCCAAAAGCCAAACAAUGCUUCAAAAGUCAUACACUAACUCCACUGUCAUAUAGGUUAUCUUUGUUAUGCAGGAAUCAAGUGCAGGAGCCAGGUUUGGCCCCAUCUUUCCUAUAGUUUGACAUCUCACACAGGCUACUGAAUGUUGACUAGUAUAUGUGUGUCUAUUAUAUGUUUUAAUGAGAAUAAUAGACUCUUUUUUGUCAGUCCUCUGGUAUGUGCAUCUAAACUGUACUAAUGCAUUUUAUUAGGCCAGUUGGUUCUAACAUGGCAAUCUGCCAACCAGAGCCAGGCAUUGGGCUGGUGGUUGAUUCCCCUUCUUCCCUAUAGGAAGACCUGAGUAAUACUUUUGCUUGAGACUGCAUAUAGGACUGCUUGGUUAGGUGAUAAAGAUGACAGAGAUAUGCACAACAAAUGCAUAAGAAGUGUCCACAUAAAGUGCUAUCUGUUAUUUUCCAUGAUUUUGAAGUGGAUAGUAUGCUUUUUCUGUAGUUGAGUUAAUAUGCCAUUUUUCUUCCAUACAAGUGUCAAAAACCCAAUGAAGAAUGGGACUGUUUCUUAGUGCAUUUCUAUGAGCAUAUAUUCUAUGUUUAUCCAUCAUUAUUGUGUUUGGCAAAUUAACUUUUGAACCUGGAACUACUGCACUUUGUUCAAGAAUGAGUUUAUUUCCUGAACAACAAUGGAAAGUCUUCGAUUUACUGAUUGAUCAUCCUCAGUCAUCUUUGGUUGGUUACAGAAGGAUGCUGAUGAAUGAAUUUGUCGGAAGCGGUGUUACUGCUGAGAACUAUGGACAGAGGUGGUAAACAGUGGAAGAGGAUAAAUAUGCCUGUGGCACUAAUAGAUCUGUGGCUGACCAAGAGUGAUGUUGACCAUGGAGGAAAGUGAUCCCGAGCUUGCAGAGCAAGUCUCAACAUGUCCAUUAACAUGACAAAGGUGCAUUCGCAAUGUUUUCUAACUUGUUAUGUUUCUUGUUCUCUUUCCUUUUGUUAAUUUUCCAGACAGGAAUAAAUAAAAGCAAAGUUUCCAUUUGUAUCUGCCUCUUUUUGUGGAUCAAAGAAGUCUUAAAGUUCCAAAGGUAGAUUACUAAGCUACGAUAGCCUCGGAUGUUCUGCUCCUUUAGUGGUCACUCAUUCAUGUCUCCUACUUCACUAAAAAAGAUGGAAGCACUUGCUUGCAGACUAAUGGUGUGGAAAUGGAGAAGAUGAGGGGAGAGGCUGAGCUGUUCUUGGACAGCACAAUGUCCACUCUCUCCUGUUCAUGUGGAAUCUGAAUCCAACCUAUCAAUCAAAGUCAGAUGAAAGAUAUUGUGGUCGCAAGCAAAGAUAAAAUGGUGGUCCAAAUCAAAAGCCUUCUUCUACCUUCCAUGCACAGCUUGAGCUUUGUUAGGGGUUGACCGCAAGUACCAACAGAAGAAGAUAAGUCUUCACAGCAUGUGCAUGCACAUACUAUUAAUGAUGUUACCAAGAAUUGAAGUAAAAUGCAACUAAUAAUGUUACUAAAAUCUUAACAUUAUCUUUCAUGUGCAAAUCGGAUUAGAUACAUUAGUUUAGUAAUUAAUUUGUAUCUUAAAUGUUUUUUUGA